rnacentral:rRNA from 1 species
GAUGAACGCUAGCGGCAGGCUUAAUACAUGCAAGUCAAGGGGCCAGCAAUGGCACCGGCGGACGGGUGAGUAACGCGUACACAACGUACCUUUAACUGGGGGAUAGCAUCUGGAAACGGGUGGUAAUACCGCAUGUGGUUGCGGGGAGGCAUCUCCUUGUAACUAAAACUUUGGUGGUUAGAGAUCGGUGUGCGUCUGAUUAGCUAGUUGGUAGGGUAGAGGCCUACCAAGGCGACGAUCAGUAGGGGGCGUGAGAGCGUGAACCCCCACACGGGUACUGAGACACGGACCCGACUCCUACGGGAGGCAGCAGUAAGGAAUAUUGGUCAACGGAGGGAACUCUGAACCAGCCAUGCCGCGUGAAGGAAGAAGGCGCUACGCGUUGUAAACUUCUUUUGGGUGGGACGAAAAUAAUCCAUUUAUGGAUAGCUGACGGUACCAUCAGAAUAAGCACCGGCUAACUCCGUG